rnacentral:rRNA from 1 species
GACGUAGGGCGCGAGCGUUGUCCGGAAUUAUUGGGCGUAAAGAGCUCGUAGGCGGCUUGUCGCGUCGGAUGUGAAAGCCCGGGGCUUAACUCCGGGUCUGCAUUCGAUACGGGCAGGCUAGAGUUCGGUAGGGGAGAUCGGAAUUCCUGGUGUAGCGGUGAAAUGCGCAGAUAUCAGGAGGAACACCGGUGGCGAAGGCGGAUCUCUGGGCCGAUACUGACGCUGAGGAGCGAAAGCGUGGGGAGCGAACAGG